rnacentral:rRNA from 1 species
CGAACGCUGGCGGCGUGCUUACCACAUGCAAGUCGAACGCUGAAGCUCAGCUUUUGUUGGGUGGAUGAGUGGCGAACGGGUGAGUAACACGUGAGUAACCUGCCUCCUUCUUUGGGAUAACGCCCGGAAACGGGUGCUAAUACUGGAUAUUCACUGGUCUUCGCAUGGGGGUUGGUGGAAAGGGUUUUUCUGGUGGGGGAUGGGCUCGCGGCCUAUCAGCUUGUUGGUGGGGUGAUGGCCUACCAAGGCUUUGACGGGUAGCCGGCCUGAGAGGGUGACCGGUCACAUUGGGACUGAGAUACGGCCCAGACUCCUACGGGAGGCAGCAGUGGGGAAUAUUGCACAAUGGGCGCAAGCCUGAUGCAGCGACGCCGCGUGAGGGAUGGAGGCCUUCGGGUUGUGAACCUCUUUCGCUCAUGGUCAAGCCGCAACAAUGGUUGUGGUGAGGGUAGUGGGUAAAGAAGCGCCGGCUAACUACGUG